CGCGUAGGUGGCCUGAUAAGGGUGUGGUGAAAGUCCGGGGCUCAACCCCGGAUCGGCCGUGCCGACUGUUAGGCUAGAGUACUGUAGGGGCAGGCGGAAUUCCGGGUGUAGCGGUGGAAUGCGUAGAGAUCCGGAGGAAGACCGGUGGCGAAGGUGGCCUGCUGGGCAGUUACUGACACUGAGGCGCGACAGCGUGGGGAGCAAACA
rnacentral:rRNA from 1 species